CCUACGGGCGGCAGCAGUGAGGAAUAUUGGUCAAUGGACGCAAGUCUGAACCAGCGAUGCCGCGUGCAGGAUGACGGCUCUAUGAGUUGUAAACUGCGUUUGUACGGGGGUAAACCCCGAUACGUGGAUCGGGUUGAAAGUAUCGUACGAAUAAGGAAAGGCUAACUCCGUGCCAGCAGCCGCGGUAAUACGGAGGAUCCGAGCGUUAUCCGGGAUUAUUGGGUUUAAAGGGGGCGUAGGCGGGUUGAUAAGUUAGAGGUGGAAGGUCGGGGCUCAACCCCGAAACUGCCUCUAAUACUGGUGGACUAGAGAAUAGUUGCGGUAGGCGGAAUGUAUGGUGUAGCGGUGAAAUGCUUAGAGAUCAUACAGAACACCGAUUGCGAAGGCAGCUUACCAAACUAUAUCUGACGUUGAGGCACGAAAGCGUGGGUAGCAAACAGGAUUAGAUACCCCUGUAGUC
rnacentral:rRNA from 1 species